ACGCUCGACACCUACGUGAGGCAGCAGUGGGGAAUAUUGCACAAUGGGGGAAACCCUGAUGCAGCGACGCCGCGUGAGCGAAGAAGUAUUUCGGUAUGUAAAGCUCUAUCAGCAGGGAAGAAAGUGACGGUACCUGACUAAGAAGCACCGGCUAAAUACGUGCCAGCAGCCGCGGUAAUCUGAGCGGGCUGGCAAGGC
rnacentral:rRNA from 1 species